GUGGCUUGUUGUGAUCGGACUGGGCGGCACGGCGCUCGCGUUCACUGUGCUUAUCGUAAAAUUUUUACUUCAAGUUCCCGCACAUCACAAAUUUUAAACUAAAUAUGAAAAAGAACAGAGCACCUGCGUUCGAAAACGCUUUGCGAGUCACCCGACCCCUUCAAGGCGAGAACUCAUGGUUAGGAAGAAAUUUCCGAUGUAUACUUAUAACUGGAAUAUCUAUUGUUGUUCUAAGCUUAUUAGCUACUAUAGUUAUUUUGUUAGUCCGGGAGUAUGGUUAAUAUAAAAGUGAAUCGUUUUUGAAGUUGUAAAUUUUAGUUUCCUUUUUUUUUUGUAGUCUAUUAUAUUAUAAUUAAAA